AGAAUGAACGUUGGCGGCGUGGAUUAGGCAUGCAAGUCGAACGCCCCGCAAGGGGAGUGGCGCAAGGGUGAGUAAGGCGACGGUAACCAACCCCAUGAUCGGGAAUAGCCGCGGGAAACUGCGGGUAAUGCCCGGCGACGUCCGAGGGAGGCAUCUCCCCCGGACCAAAGCCCCGGCGUCGUGGGACGGGCCGUCGUGGUAUUAGCUUGUUGGCGGGGUGACGGCCCACCAAGGCUGCGAUGCCUACCGGGCGUGCGAGCGUGGCCCGGCACACUGGGACUGAGACACUGCCCAGACUCCUACGGGAGGCUGCAGUCGAGAAUCUUCGGCAAUGGGCGCAAGCCUGACCGAGCGACGCCGCGUGGAGGACGAAGGCCUUCGGGUUGUAAACUCCUGUCGAGGGGAGGAAGGGGCAACCUUGACCGAUCCCUGGAGGAAGCGACGGGCUAAGUUCGUGCCAGCAGCCGC
rnacentral:rRNA from 1 species